GGUUGUGUAGUGUAGUGGUUAUCACUCUGGAUUUUGACUUACUCAGGUCAGCUUCCUUCCAGUAACCCCGGUUCGAACCCGGGCACGACCU
rnacentral:tRNA from 1 species